rnacentral:tRNA from 1 species
AGGCGCGUAGCUCAAUGGAAGAGCAUCGGACUUUGACUCCGAGGGUUGCACGUUCGAACCGUGCCGUGCCUG